CGCUCAUAAUCGCUUAAUUCUAUUUAGAAGCGGGGGAACCAAUUUCUGGGGUGAAUCCUUCACAAGCAAACGUUUUGUGAGGGUAGGGUUACUUUUCGACCCGAAUCCGUCAGCUAACUUCGUAAGCGUUGAAAGAGAGGAAUC
rnacentral:sRNA from 1 species